rnacentral:snoRNA from 1 species
AGUCCCGUUCUUUAGCCUCUCUUUUCUUUUUCCAUGGAAAGAGUCGGGUUACGCAUUACGGGUACAGCAAAGUUGGUUUCGCUUCGAGGGCUUGUACGCGUUAGAAUCGAUCGAGGUUUUGACGCGGGCUCGUCGCGAAAUACAUAUUU